UACGUAGGGGGCAAGCGUUAUCCGGAAUUACUGGGUGUAAAGGGUGAGUAGGCGGCAUGACAAGUAAGAUGUGAAAGCCCGUGGCUUAACCACGGGAUUGCAUUUUAAACUGUUGAGCUAGAGUACAGGAGAGGAAAGCGGAAUUCCCAGUGUAGCGGUGAAAUGCGUAGAUAUUGGGAAGAACACCAGUGGCGAAGGCGGCUUUCUGGACUGAAACUGACGCUGAGGCACGAAAGCGUGGGGAGCGAACAGGAUUAGAUACCCUGGUAGUCCACGCCGUAAACGAUGAGUGCUAGGUGUCGGAGGGGAACCUUCGGUGCCGCAGCAAACGCAAUAAGCACUCCACCUGGGGAGUACGAUCGCAAGAUUGAA
rnacentral:rRNA from 1 species